GAUGAACGCUAGCGGCAGGCUUAAUACAUGCAAGUCGUGGGGCAGCAUGAAUGUAGCAAUACAUUUGAUGGCGACCGGCAAACGGGUGCGGAACACGUACACAACCUUCCUAUAAGUGGGGAAUAGCCCAGAGAAAUUUGGAUUAAUACCCCGUAAUAUAACGAUGUGGCAUCACAUUGUUAUUAUAGCUUCGGCGCUUAUUGAUGGGUGUGCGGCUGAUUAGAUAGUUGGCGGGGUAACGGCCCACCAAGUCUACGAUCAGUAGCUGAUGUGAGAGCAUGAUCAGCCACACGGGCACUGAGACACGGGCCCGACUCCUACGGGAGGCAGCAGUAAGGAAUAUUGGUCAAUGGACGCAAGUCUGAACCAGCCAUGCCGCGUGAAGGAUUAAGGUCCUCUGGAUUGUAAACUUCUUUUAUCUGGGACGAAAAAAGGCUUUUCUAAGUCACUUGACGGUACCAGAUGAAUAAGCACCGGCUAACUCCGUGCCAGCCGCCGCAGUAACAC
rnacentral:rRNA from 1 species